rnacentral:rRNA from 1 species
CACGUAGGGGACGAGCGUUGUCCGGAUUCAUUGGGCGUAAAGCGCGCGUAGGCGGCUCGGAAAGUCGGUCGUGAAAUGCCGGGGCUCAACCCCGGGACUGCGUCCGAUACUCUCGAGCUGGAGGCAGGUAGGGGAGAUCGGAAUUCCAGGUGUAGCGGUGAAAUGCGUAGAUAUCUGGAGGAACACCGGUGGCGAAGGCGGCAUCCUGGACCGGCAUUGACGCUGAGGCGCGAAAGCCAGGGGAGCAAACGGG